ACUCUUAACGGUGGAUCACUCGGGUCAUGUAUCGAUGAAGAACGCAGCGAAAUGCGAUAGCUGGCGUGAAAUGCAGAAAUCUGUGAACGUUGAAUUUUCGAACCUAAAUGGGACUGCCAGUUUAUUCUGGCAGUACGUUCGUUUGAAUGCUGGAUAGUUACUAAAACCCAACUGGUUUUCCAGUAGGUUAUGCAAUGGCUAUUCCGUUGGCGAUUGGGUCGAUGGAUGGCUGAAUACCACGUUACUUCGGUGACAACCGGUAUACGGCUGGUUCGCAUAAGCGGCUAGUGUCUCUGGUGUUUUUCAGAGGUGCUACUGCGAGUGUUGCUAGACGUCUUACUUUAACCUAUCAGCUUCAAAUCGAGCGAGGCUACCCGCUGAAUUUAAGCAUAUUAAUAAGCGGAGGAAAAGAAAACAACUGUGAUUCCAUUAGUAACGGCGAGUGAAGUUGGAAGAGGCCGUCGACGAAGCCGCCUGAUUGUGAUCAGUGCAGCAAUGUGUCGUAUGCGAGUGCUUACUUGUAAAACGCAAACUGUCUAGAUCGUCUUGAAUGAUCGUUCCAAAGAGGGUGGUAGGCCCGUAAGACAGGAGGCGGAUUGCAUUGGGUGCUCGGUAGAGUAGCUUUGUUUGGGAAUGCAAAGUUAAUGGCAGGUAGAUCCCUGCUAAGCCUAAAUAUAACAUGACACCGAUAGCGAAAAAGUACAGUGAUGGAAAGUUGAAAAGAACUUUGGAAUGAGAGUUAAAUAGUGCGUGAAACCGUUGAGAAGGAAGUGAUCGAGCGACUUAGACGUCCGGGUGUUAAAGCUGUCUAACAAGGCAGUGUCGCACACGGAUUGCUUGCGUCAAUGGCUUUGAGGGGUAACGGACCGAGUGUUGGUAGUCGACCUUAGGGUUGAUGAAGCAGGAGGAAACCGGGGCUCAGCGGAGUGAGGAAUACUGCGUCGCCGUAAGGUUGGGGCUUUGCGGGUUAUUGCAAGGUAAGGAUGUAAAUCUCUUCUGAGACUGCAAUCGUACCGGGUUUUGGCUUGUAAAUGCUGCUUGGGCGCAAAAGAUUGAUGCAUAAAUGUCGUCUCAAAUCGUCCCGUCUUGAAACACGGACCAAGGAGUCCACCAGUUGCGCGAGUGAUUGGGUGGAAAACCCAAACGCGUAAUGAAAGUGACUGUCGCGGCAAGCUGGUAACAGCAGCACCGUGCGCCGGCGUCAUGGCUUCUUAGCUAGGUGUCGAGCGAGAGCGUAGAUGGUGGGACCCGAAAGGUGGUGAACUAUACUUGAAUAGGUUGAAGUCAGGCGAAAGCCUGAUGGAGGACCGUAGCUGUUCUGACGUGCAAAUCGAUUGUCGAAUUUGAGUAUAGGGGCGAAAGACUAAUCGAACCACUUAGUAGCUGGUUCCAGCCGAAGUUUCCCUUAGGAUAGCUGUUACUCUCUGGAGUUUUAUCAGGUAAAGCGAAUGAUUGGUGAAUUCUGGGGGCAUGUCCCCUAGCUCAACUCUCAAACUUUAAAUUGGUAAGAAGCACCUUUCGCUUAAUUGGAUUGGUGCAUUGAAUCCGAGUAAUGUGUGGGCCACUCUUGGUAAGCAGGACUGGCGAUGCGGGAUGCUCCGAACGCGUAUUUAAAGAGACCUAAGGUCCGCGUAUCAGAACCCAGAAAAGGUGUUGGUCGAAUUUGACAGCAAGACGGUGGCCAUGGAAGUCGGUUCCCGCUAAGGAGUGUGUAACAACUCACUUGCCGAUUCGACCGGCCCUGAAAAUGGAUGUCGCUGCAGCGGACUUCUUAUAGUACGCCCUUGAAACAUGUAUAAAACAAGUAAGUUUCAAGGAGUAGGCUGGCGUGUCGGUGGCGUGGAAGGUGCUAGCGCGAGCUACACUGAAGCCGCCGAUAGUGCAGAUCUUGGUAGUAGUAGCGAAUAGUCAAAUGAGAACUUUGACGGCCGAAGUGGCGAAUGGUUCCUUGUAAACAGCAUUUGAACAAGGGUGAGUCGGUCCUAAGCUACAGCCGAAUGGUGUAGUGAAAGCGGAGUGAUGCCUUGGUAUUGCUCCCGUGGGCGAAAGGGAAGCGAGUUAAUAUUCUCGCGCGUCGACGUGGCUAGUGUGCUUCGGUACACAGAGCGGUAACGCAAAGGAACUCGGAGAAGCUUGCGGUUACAUCGGGAAGAGUUGUCUUUUCUUGCUAACGAGACGUUAGAGCAUGGAAUGAGUUUGGCUCGAGAUAUGCUUUGCGGCUCGGAAGAGCAGUGCUUUUCUUGCGCUGUCCGAUCAGUUGCCGUUGGCCCUUGAAAAUCCGAGUGAGUGAUUGAUGUUCACGCGACGCCGUACAGAUAUCCGCAACUGGUCGCCAAGGUGAGUAGCCUCUGGUCGAUGGGAGAAAGCGAGUAAGGGAAGUCGGCAAAAUAGAUUCGUAACUUCGGGAAAAGAAUUGGCUCUGGGCGUCGAGUAGUCUGAGCUUAUCAAUGAAGUAGGCAUCGUCCUGCUGUUGGGCUGGGUAACCCUUUCGGGGGGGACUCGGACCGACGGCGGGAUUGUCUAUGGAGUUGGUUUGCUAUGUCGUCUUCGGGCGGCUUCGGGCUACAAGGAACGAUGAACUCAGAACUGUCACGGUCUCGGGGAUUCCGACUGUAUAAUUAAAACAAAGCAAUGCGAUGGCGUUAAAACGUGUUGACGCAUUGUGAUUUCUGCCCAGUGCUCUGAAUGUCAAGGUGAAGAAAUUUGCUUAAGCGCGGGUAAACGGCGGGAGUAACUAUGACUCUCUUAAGGUAGCCAAAUGCCUCGUCAUCUAACUAGUGACGCGCAUGAAUGGAUCAACGAGAAUCCUACUGUCCCUACUUGCUACCCAGCGAAACUACAGCCAUGGGAACGGGCAUGGAAUAAUCAGCGGGGAAAGAAGACCCUGUUGAGCUUGACUCUAGUCAGUGUCUGUGACGAGACUUAGGAGGUGUAGAAUAGAUGGGAGACUUCGGUCGACAGUGAAAUACCAUCACUCUUAUUGUUUCUUUGCUAAUGAAAUAGGGUGAGACUUGGACCUAGUCCUUUAUUGUUGCGUUAAGCGCCGACCUUGGUUGGCGCGACUCAUUUUUCAGACCUUCACUGGCGGGGAGUUUGACUGGGGCGGUACAUCUGUCAAACGAUAACGCAGGUGUCCUAAGGUGAGCUCAGCGACGACGGAAACGUUGCGUAGAGUAAAAGGGCAAAAGCUCGCCUGAUUUUGAUUUUCAGUGUGAAUAAAAACUGCGAAAGCACGGCCUAUCGAUCCUUUUGAGUAUCCGGAUGUGAUGCAAGAGGUGUCAGAAAAGUUACCACAGGGAUAACUGGCUUGUGGCAGCCAAGC
rnacentral:rRNA from 1 species